GGGUUGUGAGGUUAAGCGACUAAGCGUACACGGUGGAUGCCCUGGCAGUCAGAGGCGAUGAAGGACGUGCUAAUCUGCGAAAAGCGUCGGUAAGGUGAUAUGAACCGUUAUAGCCGGCGAUGUCCGAAUGGGGAAACCCAGUGCAAUUCGUUGCACUAUCGUUUGAUGAAUACAUAGUCAAACGAGGCGAACCGGGGGAACUGAAACAUCUAAGUACCCCGAGGAAAAGAAAUCAACCGAGAUUCCCCCAGUAGCGGCGAGCGAACGGGGAGCAGCCCGGAGUCUGAAUCAGCUUGUGUGUUAGUGGAAGCGUCUGGAAAGUCGCAGGGUACAGGGUGAUACUCCCGUACACUAAAGCACACAGGUUGUGAACUCGAAGAGUAGGGCGGGACACGUGGUAUCCUGUCUGAAUAUGGGGGGACCAUCCUCCAAGGCUAAAUACUCCUGACUGACCGAUAGUGAACCAGUACCGUGAGGGAAAGGCGAAAAGAACCCCGGCGAGGGGAGUGAAAAAGAACCUGAAACCGUGUACGUACAAGCAGUAGGAGCCUCUUUAUGGGGUGACUGCGUACCUUUUGUAUAAUGGGUCAGCGACUUAUAUUCUGUAGCAAGGUUAACCGUAUAGGGGAGCCGCAGGGAAACCGAGUCUUAACUGGGCGUUAAGUUGCAGGGUAUAGACCCGAAACCCGGUGAUCUAGCCAUGGGCAGGUUGAAGGUUGGGUAACACUAACUGGAGGACCGAACCGACUAAUGUUGAAAAAUUAGCGGAUGACUUGUGGCUGGGGGUGAAAGGCCAAUCAAACCGGGAGAUAGCUGGUUCUCCCCGAAAGCUAUUUAGGUAGCGCCUCGUGAAUUCAUCUUCGGGGGUAGAGCACUGUUUCGGCUAGGGGGUCAUCCCGACUUACCAACCCGAUGCAAACUACGAAUACCGAAGAAUGUUAUCACGGGAGACACACGGCGGGUGCUAACGUCCGUCGUGAAGAGGGAAACAACCCAGACCGCCAGCUAAGGUCCCAAAGUCAUGGUUAAGUGGGAAACGAUGUGGGAAGGCCCAGACAGCCAGGAUGUUGGCUUAGAAGCAGCCAUCAUUUAAAGAAAGCGUAAUAGCUCACUGGUCGAGUCGGCCUGCGCGGAAGAUGUAACGGGGCUAAACCAUGCACCGAAGCUGCGGCAGCGACACUAUGUGUUGUUGGGUAGGGGAGCGUUCUGUAAGCCGUCGAAGGUGGCCUGUGAGGGUUGCUGGAGGUAUCAGAAGUGCGAAUGCUGACAUAAGUAACGAUAAUGCGGGUGAAAAACCCGCACGCCGGAAGACCAAGGGUUCCUGUCCAACGUUAAUCGGGGCAGGGUGAGUCGACCCCUAAGGCGAGGCCGAAAGGCGUAGUCGAUGGGAAACAGGUUAAUAUUCCUGUACUCGGUGUUACUGCGAAGGGGGGACGGAGAAGGCUAUGUUGGCCGGGCGACGGUUGUCCCGGUUUAAGCAUGUAGGCGGAUGUUCCAGGUAAAUCCGGAACGUUAUCAACGCUGAGGUGUGAUGACGAGGCACUACGGUGCUGAAGUGACAAAUGCCCUGCUUCCAGGAAAAGCCUCUAAGCAUCAGGUAACAUCAAAUCGUACCCCAAACCGACACAGGUGGUCAGGUAGAGAAUACCAAGGCGCUUGAGAGAACUCGGGUGAAGGAACUAGGCAAAAUGGUGCCGUAACUUCGGGAGAAGGCACGCUGAUAGGUAGGUGAAGUGGUUUACCCAUGGAGCUGAAAUCAGUCGAAGAUACCAGCUGGCUGCAACUGUUUAUUAAAAACACAGCACUGUGCAAACACGAAAGUGGACGUAUACGGUGUGACGCCUGCCCGGUGCCGGAAGGUUAAUUGAUGGGGUUAUCCGUAAGGAGAAGCUCUUGAUCGAAGCCCCGGUAAACGGCGGCCGUAACUAUAACGGUCCUAAGGUAGCGAAAUUCCUUGUCGGGUAAGUUCCGACCUGCACGAAUGGCGUAAUGAUGGCCAGGCUGUCUCCACCCGAGACUCAGUGAAAUUGAACUCGCUGUGAAGAUGCAGUGUACCCGCGGCAAGACGGAAAGACCCCGUGAACCUUUACUAUAGCUUGACACUGAACACUGGUCCUUGAUGUGUAGGAUAGGUGGGAGGCUUUGAAGUGUGGACGCCAGUCUGCAUGGAGCCAUCCUUGAAAUACCACCCUUUAAUGGCUGGUGUUCUAACGUGGGCCCGUUAUCCGGGUUGCGGACAGUGUCUGGUGGGUAGUUUGACUGGGGCGGUCUCCUCCUAAAGAGUAACGGAGGAGCACGAAGGUCAGCUAAUCCUGGUCGGACAUCAGGAGGUUAGUGCAAUGGCAUAAGCUGGCUUGACUGCGAGCGUGACGGCGCGAGCAGGUGCGAAAGCAGGUCAUAGUGAUCCGGUGGUUCUGAAUGGAAGGGCCAUCGCUCAACGGAUAAAAGGUACUCCGGGGAUAACAGGCUGAUACCGCCCAAGAGUUCAUAUCGACGGCGGUGUUUGGCACCUCGAUGUCGGCUCAUCACAUCCUGGGGCUGAAGUAGGUCCCAAGGGUAUGGCUGUUCGCCAUUUAAAGUGGUACGCGAGCUGGGUUUAGAACGUCGUGAGACAGUUCGGUCCCUAUCUGCCGUGGGCGCUGGAGAAUUGAGGGGGGCUGCUCCUAGUACGAGAGGACCGGAGUGGACGCAUCACUGGUGUUCGGGUUGUCAUGCCAAUGGCAUUGCCCGGUAGCUAAAUGCGGAAGAGAUAAGUGCUGAAAGCAUCUAAGCACGAAACUUGCCCCGAGAUGAGUUCUCCCUGACUCCUUGAGAGUCCUGAAGGAACGUUGAAGACGACGACGUUGAUAGGCCGGGUGUGUAAGCGCAGCGAUGCGUUGAGCUAACCGGUACUAAUGAACCGUGAGGCUUAACCUUACAACGCCGAAG
rnacentral:rRNA from 1 species